rnacentral:rRNA from 1 species
UACGGAGGGGGCUAGCGUUGUUCGGAAUUACUGGGCGUAAAGCGCGCGUAGGCGGAUUGGAAAGUCAGAGGUGAAAUCCCAGGGCUCAACCUUGGAACUGCCUUUGAAACUAUCAGUCUGGAGUUCGAGAGAGGUGAGUGGAAUUCCGAGUGUAGAGGUGAAAUUCGUAGAUAUUCGGAGGAACACCAGUGGCGAAGGCGGCUCACUGGCUCGAUACUGACGCUGAGGUGCGAAAGCGUGGGGAGCAAACAGG